rnacentral:lncRNA from 1 species
GAGUCUUUUAAUUUGCAGUCAAGUUUUUUUUUAUAUUCUCUUUAAUUUCUCUAUUGUUCGAAUGUGUGCUGUUGGAGAUAGAUGGAGAGUUAAUGUAAGUAUUACUGUCCAUUCAGUGAUCUGGAGGCUCAGCUGCUUGGAGAUGAAGAAGAAGCUGGUGUUACAGGCACUCACAUCAAGAGAUCACACCAAGUGUAUUCUAUAUCUGGUGCCUAUUGUUGCCUGCCAUAUAAUUCUGUCCAGUUUCUUGAAGCAUAUACUUUGAAAAAGGUUCCUGCUUGAUCAGGAUACAUUCUCCCACCUGCUUGGCUUUUUAACUGAUGCAGCCUCUGUCCUUCCAUUGUAGAUGCUUUUACACAAUGCUGAUCAAUCACAGUAUGUGAGUGUCCAAAUAUGUGUACCCUGUCUUGGCCAAUGUACUCUCCUACCUUCUUCCUUCCAUGUUGGAGUGUAUUGGCUGAAAAAGAUAUGAAGCUACGUGUCUCUUUGGGAUGGAGCGGAGAUCCUGUCUAUCCUAAUGUGUCCUACAGAAAUACUCCUUGUUGUCUGCAAUCAAGUGGUUUUUCUCACACAGCACAUUUUUAAAUUAAGACCAUUGCUGGCACAUUUUGCAUUACUGGCAUUGUUUGGAAGCAUAAUCCUGAAGCAUGUUUGUGGACACCUUAAACCACAAGUCCCAUCUCAGACAAUCAAUGCCUUCUUUAAAGAGCUGCUCCUUGAACUACUCCCAGGAUAUAAGGCUGGAGUCAAAGUCUUUCUUUAUUAUUUGAUCCAAUGA